UGUGCCGUGGUUUCCUUUUUCUUCUCACCUCCAUCUGCUGCGCCCAACUAAGCUGCCCAGCUCAUGUGUGUCAACUCCAUGCAUGAUGUCGCAGCGCGUAGCUUUUGUUGGUCCACCAUGGACCCAUGGGGAAAAAAAAAAACUAGGAGCCAUGCGCCUUUGUUUUGAACCAGUUCACUCUCUUUACUCCUUGAGCAUUA
rnacentral:lncRNA from 1 species